GAUGAACGCUGGCGGCGUGCCUAAUACAUGCAAGUCGAGCGAACGGACGAGAAGCUUGCUUCUCUGAUGUUAGCGGCGGACGGGUGAGUAACACGUGGAUAACCUACCUAUAAGACUGGGAUAACUUCGGGAAACCGGAGCUAAUACCGGAUAAUAUUUUGAACCGCAUGGUUCAAAAGUGAAAGACGGUCUUGCUGUCACUUAUAGAUGGAUCCGCGCUGCAUUAGCUAGUUGGUAAGGUAACGGCUUACCAAGGCAACGAUGCAUAGCCGACCUGAGAGGGUGAUCGGCCACACUGGAACUGAGACACGGUCCAGACUCCUACGGGAGGCAGCAGUAGGGAAUCUUCCGCAAUGGGCGAAAGCCUGACGGAGCAACGCCGCGUGAGUGAUGAAGGUCUUCGGAUCGUAAAACUCUGUUAUUAGGGAAGAACAUAUGUGUAAGUAACUGUGCACAUCUUGGCGGUACCUAAUCAGAAAGCCACGGCUAACUACGUGCCAGCAGCCGCGGUAAUACGUAGGUGGCAAGCGUUAUCCGGAAUUAUUGGGCGUAAAGCGCGCGUAGGCGGUUUUUUAAGUCUGAUGUGAAAGCCCACGGCUCAACCGUGGAGGGUCAUUGGAAACUGGAAAACUUGAGUGCAGAAGAGGAAAGUGGAAUUCCAUGUGUAGCGGUGAAAUGCUCAGAGAUAUGGAGGAACACCAGUGGCGAAGGCGACUUUCUGGUCUGUAACUGACGCUGAUGUGCGAAAGCGUGGGGAUCAAACAGGAUUAGAUACCCUGGUAGUCCACGCCGUAAACGAUGAGUGCUAAGUGUUAGGGGGUUUCCGCCCCUUAGUGCUGCAGCUAACGCAUUAAGCACUCCGCCUGGGGAGUACGACCGCAAGGUUGAAACUCAAAGGAAUUGACGGGGACCCGCACAAGCGGUGGAGCAUGUGGUUUAAUUCGAAGCAACGCGAAGAACCUUACCAAAUCUUGACAUCCUUUGACAACUCUAGAGAUAGAGCCUUCCCCUUCGGGGGACAAAGUGACAGGUGGUGCAUGGUUGUCGUCAGCUCGUGUCGUGAGAUGUUGGGUUAAGUCCCGCAACGAGCGCAACCCUUAAGCUUAGUUGCCAUCAUUAAGUUGGGCACUCUAAGUUGACUGCCGGUGACAAACCGGAGGAAGGUGGGGAUGACGUCAAAUCCUCAUGCCCCUUAUGAUUUGGGCUACACACGUGCUACAAUGGACAAUACAAAGGGCAGCGAAACCGCGAGGUCAAGCAAAUCCCAUAAAGUUGUUCUCAGUUCGGAUUGUAGUCUGCAACUCGACUACAUGAAGCUGGAGUCGCUAGUAAUCGUAGAUCAGCAUGCUACGGUGAAUACGUUCCCGGGUCU
rnacentral:rRNA from 1 species